GACGGGGGAUGCAAGUGUUAUCCGGAAUCACUGGGCGUAAAGCGUCUGUAGGUGGUUUGAUAAGUCAACUGUUAAAUCUUGAGGCUUAACCUCAAAAUCGCAGUCGAAACUAUUAGACUAGAGUAUAGUAGGGGUAAAGGGAAUUUCCAGUGGAGCGGUGAAAUGCAUAGAUAUUGGAAGGAACACCGAUGGCGAAGGCACUUUACUGGGCUAUUACUAACACUCAG
rnacentral:rRNA from 1 species